CGGAUUGAACUCUAGAGAUAGAGCUUUCCCUUAGGGGACAAAGUGACAGGUGGUGCAUGGUUUGUCGUCAGCUCGUGUCGUGAGAUGUUGGGUUAAGUCCCGCAACGAGCGCAACCCUUAUUGUUAGUUGCCAUCAUUUAGUUGGGCACUCUAGCGAGACUGCCGGUGACAAACCGGAGGAAGGUGGGGAUGACGUCAAAUCAUCAUGCCCCUUAUGACCUGGGCUACACACGUGCUACAAUGGGAAGUACAACGAGUCGCUAGACCGCGAGGUCAUGCAAAUCUCUUAAAGCUUCUCUCAGUUCGGAUUGCAGGCUGCAACUCGCCUGCAUGAAGCCGGAAUCGCUAGUAAUCGCGGAUCAGCACGCCGCGGUGAAUACGUUCCCGGGUCUG
rnacentral:rRNA from 1 species